rnacentral:rRNA from 1 species
UGGCUCAGAACGAACGCUGGCGGCAGGCUUAACACAUGCAAGUCGAGCGGGCGUAGCAAUACGUCAGCGGCAGACGGGUGAGUAACGCGUGGGAACGUACCUUUUCGUUCGGAACAACACAGGGAAACUUGUGCUAAUACCGGAUAAGCCCUUACGGGGAAAGAUUUAUCGCCGAAAGAUCGGCCCGCGUCUGAUUAGCUAGUUGGUGAGGUAAUGUCUCCCCAAGGCGACGGUCAAAAGCUGGUCUGAGAGGAUGAUCAGCCACAUU